rnacentral:lncRNA from 1 species
UUUGUGUUUGACCUGAUUCUCGAACCACAGUUUGGUCCUUGAGAGACGACCUAGGAGUCAUUCCCUAGCUAUACCGCAUUUCUCAUAUGCAAUCAAAUUUGUACGGGCCGCGACACCCAUCAACCCCCAUCUACAAAUGAAGUCAGUUCUUUGAUCAUCAUCGUUGAACCAUCCAAAAGGGUCAGCCUCUCUUCUUGCGGACAUGGGACGUUUUCCUGGUCUUGAUGAUGAUGCAUCCAUUUGAGCAAGGAGGAAGAAGGGUUUUCACCAGAAUCAGAAUAAGGGUUUGCUUGCAAGAUUGUAUGUGAAUAUCUCAGACUAUGUCAUUCAUUUAUAGAUGAAAAACGCUCCAAGAGUUUUGCUUAAACCC